UACAUUCUGCGAUGUUAGUGGCUCUUAUUUUGUCUUAAACCGAUAUGAGUAAUACGGGAAUCUUAAAUGACGGGUUGAAUACACCGUGCCUCUCCAUUACGCAGAGGAAGGUGGAAAGACCGCUGCGGAUACCCACCUGUGAGAACGGGUUUUUAAGACAGGAUGAGCUACGGCAAAGCGGAUAUAC
rfam:Fictibacillus enclensis strain NIO-1003 genomic scaffold Scaffold1, whole genome shotgun sequence.